rnacentral:rRNA from 1 species
UGGGGAAUUUUGGACAAUGGGCGAAAGCCUGAUCCAGCAAUGCCGCGUGUGUGAAGAAGGCCUUCGGGUUGUAAAGCACUUUUGUCCGGAAAGAAAUCCUUGGCUCUAAUACAGUCGGGGGAUGACGGUACCGGAAGAAUAAGCACCGGCUAACUACGUGCCAGCAGCCGCGGUAAUACGUAGGGUGCAAGCGUUAAUCGGAAUUACUGGGCGUAAAGCGUGCGCAGGCGGUUUGCUAAGACCGAUGUGAAAUCCCCGGGCUCAACCUGGGAACUGCAUUGGUGACUGGCAGGCUAGAGUAUGGCAGAGGGGGGUAGAAUUUCACGUGUAGCAGUGAAAUGCGUAGAGAUGUGGAGGAAUACCGAUGGCGAAGGCAGCCCCCUGGGCCAAUACUGACGCUCAUGCACGAAAGCGUGGGGAGCAAACAGGAUUAGAUACCCUGGUAGUCCACGCCCUAAACGAUGUCAACUAGUUGUUGGGGAUUCAUUCCUUAGUAACGUAGCUAACGCGUGAAGUUGACCGCCUGGGGAGUACGGUCGCAAGAUUAAAACUCAAAUGAAUUGACGGGGUCAUAGCUGUUUCCU